CGGGUGCACUGAUCCGGCCGGGCCUUUCCCUCUGUGGAACCCCAUGGCCUUCACUGGCUGUGCGGGGGAAACAGGACUUUUACUGUGAAAAAAUUAGAGUGCUCCAGGCAGGCCUAUGCUCGAAUACAUUAGCAUGGAAUAAUAGAAUAGGACGCGUGGUUCUAUUUUGUUGGUUUCUAGGACCGCCGUAAUGAUUAAUAGGGACAGUCGGGGGCAUCAGUAUUCAAUUGUCAGAGGUGAAAUUCUUGGAUCUAUUGAAGACUAACUACUGCGAAAGCAUUUGCCAAGGAUGUUUUCAUUGAUAAGGAACGAAAGUUAGGGGAUCGAAGACGAUCAGAUACCGUCGUAGUCUUAACUAUAAACUAUGCCGACUAGGGAUCGGACGAUGUUAUUUCUUGACGCGUUCGGCACCUUUCGAGAAAUCAAAGUGCUUGGGCUCCAGGGGGAGUAUGGUCGCAAGGCUGAAACUUAAAGAAAUUGACGGAAGGGCACCACCAGGGGUGGAACCUGCGGCUUAAUUUGACUCAACACGGGGAAACUCACCAGGUCCAGACACAAUGAGGAUUGACAGAUUGAGAGCUCUUUCUUGAUUUUGUGGGUGGUGGUGCAUGGCCGUUCUUGGUGGAGUGAUUUGUCUGCUUAAUUGCGAUAACGAACGAGACCUUAACCUGCUAAAUAGCCCGUACUGCUCUGGCAGUUCGCCGGCUUCUUAGAGGGACUAUCGG
rnacentral:rRNA from 1 species